rnacentral:lncRNA from 1 species
UUUGGUAAAAAAAAUAAUUAAUACCAAACAUUAUUUCGCACAUGGCAUGAGCGGCCAUUAAUCGGUUACUUAUAUUUAUCCGAAGCUUAGUUGUCCUUUGUUACGAGCACAACGCCAAUCGAUUGUCGGUCGAUAUCGGUAGAACUCGUAUUAUACCUCGACUGUGGUUAUUGCGAUCCCGAUCCCGAGUUAGUUUUAUCACGCUAGUAGACGACGUACCCACGUGCAUUUGUUUUCCGUUUUUUGACUCGUGAUAAAGAAAUAAAAUGUCUACAACAAGAAGGGCAAUUGAACGUCCAAUUUUUGGUGCACCAAAAGACUUAGUUUGUUCGAUGUAAUAAAGUAUUUUUUAUGGAUUCGACAUAACUUGGAAGAAAGUCAAGUUAAUCGCAAUCUUCUUGUAUCCGAAGCUUCAGGAGUUGUCGCUCAAAAAAUAGAAGAGAUUUGGAAAUCUGCGUCUGUACCAACAGUAAGUCAUCAGAGAAUUGUGGCGCUAGUUAAAGAGUACCAGAAAAAAAGAAAAGAUCUCCUGAAGCCAUACCGACAAAGAAAAGACGUUCCUUCGUAUAAGUCCAAAAUUGAAAAUUUUGUAAAUGAUAGCCAACGAUUAUUUGAUGUUGCCGCAUGCAAAUGUGUUGACUUUCAAAAGUGUUCAUGUUAAAAAUCAAAUAAGGUUCCUCUAAAUGAACGCCCAUUCCUGCAAGAUCAGAGGUCGGACAGAAAAAUGAUGAUUGGGUCUGUUGAUUUUAAGGCUGUUCGACAUCAACAAAAAAGAGAAAGUAGGAGUCAAAAAAACAACAUAGGACAGCAGUGAUAUUUUGCUGCUUGAAGGUCAACCUGAUUUCGAAAGUGAGAAAGGUAAAUAUGAUAACGAUGAAGACAAUCUUUCUCCCGAACUGCCACUAUUUUCUGAUAAUCCAAGUACCUCAAACGGCAAUCGUAAUACUAGCAGCCUUUGCAUGUUGGCAAGUAUGUUAGACAGAUAAGCGGUGUCAGACAGAGCCGGUGCAGCGAUAGCUUUAGGCGUGCUUCAAGAUUAUGGAAUUAUUCGUAGCGAAGACUCCCAGAACAUCAUUGAUCGUCAUAAAGUCAGACGUGCAAGACAGAAAAAAAGACAAGAGCUACAAAAAUCUUCAAAUAUAGGUCUGUUGCGGGGUUUGUACUUCGAUGGACGUAAAGACAAAACAUUAAUAUUUACAGACAAUAGAAAAAGGAUAGUAGUCAAGGAACAUAUAACUUUAUUACAAGAACCAGGUUCAAACUAUAUCGGUCAUCUUUCCCCUGUUUCUGGAACUGCCUUAAGCAUUUUGAAUUUUUUGACUGAAUUCUUAGAUAACCCCUUAAUUUCGCUCGACAGUUCAGAAGCGGUUGGUUGCGACGGAACAAAUAUCAAUGUAGGAUCCAAGGGAGGAAUUAUUUCAUUACUCGAAAGAAACAUUAAGCGACCCCUGCAAUGGUUUAUUUGCCAGUCGCAUGCGAAUGAGCUUCCUCUGCGACAUAUACUGCAACACCUUGACGGUGAAACAACUGGACCUCGAGCAUUUCGUGGGCCUAUAGGAAAGCGGUUAAACGAUUGCGAAAAACUACCAAGCGUAGAAUUUUCUAUAAUAGCGUGUGAAUUACCUGAUAUUGAUACGAACAUAGAGUUAAGUAUAGAUCAAAAAUACCUUUAUGAAAUGUAUUUAGCUAUUAAAAAUGGUUACUGCUCCGAA